rnacentral:rRNA from 1 species
AUUUGUGGGGGAUAACUAUCCGAAAGGAUAGCUAAUACCGCAUAAGUCCUGAGGGAGAAAGCAGGGGAUCGCAAGACCUUGCGCGAAUGGAGCGGCCGAUGCCGGAUUAGCUAGUUGGUAGGGUAAAGGCCUACCAAGGCGACGAUCCGUAGCUGGUCUGAGAGGAUGAUCAGCCACACUGGAACUGAGACACGGUCCAGACUCCUACGGGAGGCAGCAGUGGGGAAUUUUGGACAAUGGGGGCAACCCUGAUCCAGCCAUUCCGCGUGAGUGAAGAAGGCCUUCGGGUUGUAAAGCUCUUUCGGCAGGAACGAAACGGUGGGGGCUAAUACCCUCCGCUAAUGACGGUACCUGAAGAAGAAGCACCGGCUAACUACGUGCCAGCAGCCGCGGUAAUACGUAGGGUGCGAGCGUUAAUCGGAAUUACUGGGCGUAAAGCGUGCGCAGGCGGUUCUAUAAGACAGAUGUGAAAUCCCCGGGCUUAACCUGGGAACUGCGUUUGUGACUGUAGGACUCGAGUGUGGCAGAGGGGGGUGGAAUUCCACGUGUAGCAGUGAAAUGCGUAGAGAUGUGGAGGAACACCGAUGGCGAAGGCAGCCCCCUGGGUCAACACUGACGCUCAUGCACGAAAGCGUGGGUAGCAAACAGGAUUAGAUACCCUGGUAGUCCACGCCCUAAACGAUGCGAACUAGGUGUUGGGGAAGGAGACUUUCUUAGUACCGCAGCUAACGCGUGAAGUUCGCCGCCUGGGGAGUACGGUCGCAAGAUUAAAACUCAAAGGAAUUGACGGGGACCCGCACAAGCGGUGGAUGAUGUGGAUUAAUUCGAUGCAACGCGAAAAACCUUACCUACCCUUGACAUGCCAGGAACUUGCCAGAGAUGGCUUGGUGCCCGAAAGGGAGCCUGGACACAGGUGCUGCAUGGCUGUCGUCAGCUCGUGUCGUGAGAUGUUGGGUUAAGUCCCGCAACGAGCGCAACCCUUGUCAUUAGUUGCCAUCAUUUAGUUGGGCACUCUAAUGAGACUGCCGGUGACAAACCGGAGGAAGGUGGGGAUGACGUCAAGUCCUCAUGGCCCUUAUGGGUAGGGCUUCACACGUCAUACAAUGGUCGGUACAGAGGGUUGCCAAGCCGCGAGGUGGAGCCAAUCCCAGAAAGCCGAUCGUAGUCCGGAUCGGAGUCUGCAACUCGACUCCGUGAAGUCGGAAUCGCUAGUAAUCGUGGAUCAGCAUGUCACGGUGAAUACGUUCCCGGGUCUUGUACACACCGCCCGUCACACCAUGGGAGUGGGUUUCACCAGAAGUGGUAGCCUAACCGCAAGGGGGGCGCUUACCACGGUGGGAUUCAUGACUGGGGUGAAGUCGUAACAAGGUA